rnacentral:rRNA from 1 species
UACGUAGGGGGCGAGCGUUGUCCGGAAUUACUGGGCGUAAAGAGCGUGUAGGCGGGUAAUUAAGUCAGGUGUGAAAGACCGGGGCUCAACCUCGGGAUUGCACUUGAAACUGGAUAUCUUGAGGGCAGGAGAGGAAAGUGGAAUUCCUGGUGUAGCGGUGAAAUGCGUAGAUAUCAGGAGGAACACCGGUGGCGAAGGCGGCUUUCUGGACUGACCCUGACGCUGAGACGCGAAAGCGUGGGGAGCAAACAGG